AACCUUCGCAAUGUGCGAAAGCACGACGAGGUUAUUCCGAGUGAUUUCCGCUGAGGAAAUCUUUUCUCAGAUCUAAAACGUCUGGGGAAUAAGGGGAGGGCAAGUCUGGUGUCAGCCGCCGCGGUAAUACCAGCUCCUCGAGUGGUCAGGGCGUUUAUUGGGCCUAAAGCAUCCGUAGCCGGCUCAGUUGGUCUCCUGUUAAAUCCAACGGCUCAACCGUUGGUCCGCAGGAGAUACCGCUGGGCUAGGAGGCGGGAGAGGCGGACGGUACUCCGAGGGUAGGGGUAAAAUCCUUUGAUCCCCGGAAGACCACCAGUGGCGAAGGCGGUCCGCCAGAACGCGCUCGACGGUGAGGGAUGAAAGCUGGGGGAGCGAACCGGAUUAGAUACCCGGGUAGUCCCAGCCGUAAACGAUGCGAGCUAGGUGACACGACGCCUUCGGGGCGUCGUGGUGCCGCAGGGAAGCCGUUAAGCUCGCCGCCUGGGGAGUACGGACGCAAGUCUGAAACUUAA
rnacentral:rRNA from 1 species